UUAAGCGACUAAGCGUACACGGUGGAUGCCCUGGCAGUCAGAGGCGAUGAAGGACGUGCUAAUCUGCGAAAAGCGUCGGUAAGGUGAUAUGAACCGUUAUAACCGGCGAUGUCCGAAUGGGGAAACCCAGUGCAUUCGUUGCACUAUCGUUAACUGAAUACAUAGGUUAACGAGGCGAACCGGGGGAACUGAAACAUCUAAGUACCCCGAGGAAAAGAAAUCAACCGAGAUUCCCCCAGUAGCGGCGAGCGAACGGGGAGCAGCCCAGAGUCUGAAUCAGCUUGUGUGUUAGUGGAACGGUCUGGAAAGUCCGACGGUACAGGGUGAUAGUCCCGUACACCAAAAUGCACAGGCUGUGAACUCGAAGAGUAGGGCGGGACACGUGGUAUCCUGUCUGAAUAUGGGGGGGACCAUCCUCCAAGGCUAAAUACUCCUGACUGACCGAUAGUGAACCAGUACCGUGAGGGAAAGGCGAAAAGAACCCCGGCGAGGGGAGUGAAAAAGAACCUGAAACCGUGUACGUACAAGCAGUGGGAGCACCUUCGGGUGUGACUGCGUACCUUUUGUAUAAUGGGUCAGCGACUUAUAUUCUGUAGCAAGGUUAACCGUAUAGGGGAGCCGCAGGGAAACCGAGUCUUAACUGGGCGUUAAGUUGCAGGGUAUAGACCCGAAACCCGGUGAUCUAGCCAUGGGCAGGUUGAAGGUUGGGUAACACUAACUGGAGGACCGAACCGACUAAUGUUGAAAAAAUUAGCGGAUGACUUGUGGCUGGGGGUGAAAGGCCAAUCAAACCGGGAGAUAGCUGGUUCUCCCCGAAAGCUAUUUAGGUAGCGCCUCGUGAAUUCAUCUUCGGGGGUAGAGCACUGUUUCGGCUAGGGGGGUCAUCCCGACUUACCAACCCGAUGGCAAACUACGAAUACCGAAGAAUGUUAUCACGGGAGACACACGGCGGGUGCUAACGUCCGUCGUGAAGAGGGAAACAACCCAGACCGCCAGCUAAGGUCCCAAAGUCAUGGUUAAGUGGGAAACGAUGUGGGAAGGCACAGACAGCCAGGAUGUUGGCUUAGAAGCAGCCAUCAUUUAAAGAAAAGCGUAAUAGCUCACUGGUCGAGUCGGCCUGCGCGGAAGAUGUAACGGGGCUAAACCAUGCACCGAAGCUGCCGGCAGCGACACUAUGUGUUGUUGGGUAGGGGAGCGUUCUGUAAGCCUGCGAAGGUGUGCUGUGAGGCAUGCUGGAGGUAUCAGAAGUGCGAAUGCUGACAUAAGUAACGAUAAAGCGGGUGAAAAGCCCGCUCGCCGGAAGACCAAGGGUUCCUGUCCAACGUUAAUCGGGGCAGGGUGAGUCGACCCCUAAGGCGAGGCCGAAAGGCGUAGUCGAUGGGAAACAGGUUAAUAUUCCUGUACUUGGUGUUACUGCGAAGGGGGGACGGAGAAGGCUAUGUUAGCCGGGCGACGGGUUGUCCCGGUUUAAGCAUGUAGGCUGGUUGUCCAGGCAAAUCCGGAUAAUCAAGGCUGAGGUGUGAUGACGAGGCACUACGGUGCUGAAGUAACAAAUGCCCUGCUUCCAGGAAAAGCCUCUAAGCAUCAGGUAACAUCAAAUCGUACCCCAAACCGACACAGGUGGUCAGGUAGAGAAUACCAAGGCGCUUGAGAGAACUCGGGUGAAGGAACUAGGCAAAAUGGUGCCGUAACUUCGGGAGAAGGCACGCUGGUGUGUAGGUGAAGUCCCUGCGGGAUGGAGCUGAGACCAGUCGAAGAUACCAGCUGGCUGCAACUGUUUAUUAAAAACACAGCACUGUGCAAACACGAAAGUGGACGUAUACGGUGUGACGCCUGCCCGGUGCCGGAAGGUUAAUUGAUGGGGUUAUCCGUAAGGAGAAGCUCUUGAUCGAAGCCCCGGUAAACGGCGGCCGUAACUAUAACGGUCCUAAGGUAGCGAAAUUCCUUGUCGGGUAAGUUCCGACCUGCACGAAUGGCGUAAUGAUGGCCAGGCUGUCUCCACCCGAGACUCAGUGAAAUUGAACUCGCUGUGAAGAUGCAGUGUACCCGCGGCAAGACGGAAAGACCCCGUGAACCUUUACUAUAGCUUGACACUGAACAUUGAGCCUUGAUGUGUAGGAUAGGUGGGAGGCUUUGAAGCGUGGACGCCAGUCUGCGUGGAGCCAACCUUGAAAUACCACCCUUUAAUGUUUGAUGUUCUAACGUUGGCCCCUUACCGGGGUUGCGGACAGUGUCUGGUGGGUAGUUUGACUGGGGCGGUCUCCUCCCAAAGCGUAACGGAGGAGCACGAAGGUUAGCUAAUCCUGGUCGGACAUCAGGAGGUUAGUGCAAUGGCAUAAGCUAGCUUGACUGCGAGCGUGACGGCGCGAGCAGGUGCGAAAGCAGGUCAUAGUGAUCCGGUGGUUCUGAAUGGAAGGGCCAUCGCUCAACGGAUAAAAGGUACUCCGGGGAUAACAGGCUGAUACCGCCCAAGAGUUCAUAUCGACGGCGGUGUUUGGCACCUCGAUGUCGGCUCAUCACAUCCCUGGGGCUGAAGUAGGUCCCAAGGGUAUGGCUGUUCGCCAUUUAAAGUGGUACGCGAGCUGGGUUUAGAACGUCGUGAGACAGUUCGGUCCCUAUCUGCCGUGGGCGCUGGAGAAUUGAGGGGGGCUGCUCCUAGUACGAGAGGACCGGAGUGGACGCAUCACUGGUGUUCGGGUUGUCAUGCCAAUGGCACUGCCCGGUAGCUAAAUGCGGAAGAGAUAAGUGCUGAAAGCAUCUAAGCACGAAACUUGCCCCGAGAUGAGUUCUCCCUGAGACUUUAAGUCUCCUGAAGGAACGUUGAAGACGACGACGUUGAUAGGCCGGGUGUGUAAGCGCAGCGAUGCGUUGAGCUAACCGGUACUAAUGAACCGUGAGGCUUAACCUU
rnacentral:rRNA from 1 species